AUCUGCAGAUCCCCUCGGUCAGGGGCUGCCCCGCCUGGGCUGUUCGGAGCAGCUCCUCUGUAGGGCAGGGCCUGACCUCACCCCACACCCCAGUGGCUUCAGCUCCCUGCCCAGCGCACGGGCUGCCUCCAUCAGGGCACUUAAGUAGAGUCAAGGUUUGCGCCGACUCCGUCUCCCAGAAAUCAACGUGGACCAGGCCCACUUAAAAAAUAUGCAUUAGUCGAAGACAGACGUCUCGUCCAUAGGUCCCCAGACUGUUUGUCCACAACGCAGGGCUUCUCUUUGUGGGCCUGAAGGAGCACACGUCAGGCAAGACACGAGGGCAACUUCAGAGACACUGUUCAGGGCCACGGAGAAUUCUCGAAGUCUGACUCCAGUCCCCGCAACACUCCAUCUUCCAGAGAUCUCCAGGGGUCCAGAAAUAACACCUCACAGCCUUCCAAGCUUCCCAAGGAUCCGGAGACUCCUUAUCUCGCAGCGCAAACCUCAGGCAACUACAGGUCCUCCCUGCACCUUUGAGGUGCCCCUCCCCCCACUCAAGGUUCCAGAAAAAUCCAUGCCCUCGGAAACCCCAGAAUCUUACUUUCCCGAGGCACCCCAGGACCCCAGGGUCAUCAGUUCACAGGGCUGUUAGUGCUCCCAUAAAACUCUAGCCUCCCAGAGGGACCCCAGCCCCCACCCUCCCGCCCACGAACCCCUGCAUUUCCAGAAUCAGCCCCAGGGCCCCAACCCCCCCAAGCCCCCAUUUCACAACACGCUGGCGCUACAGGCGCGUGACUUCCCCUUGCUUUGGGGCGG
rnacentral:lncRNA from 1 species